rnacentral:rRNA from 1 species
GUGGGGAAUCUUAGACAAUGGGGGAAACCCUGAUCUAGCCAUGCCGCGUGAGCGAUGAAGGCCUUAGGGUUGUAAAGCUCUUUCAGCUGGGAAGAUAAUGACGGUACCAGCAGAAGAAGCCCCGGCUAACUCCGUGCCAGCAGCCGCGGUAAUACGGAGGGGACUAGCGUUGUUCGGAAUUACUGGGCGUAAAGCGCGCGUAGGCGGACCAGAAAGUUGGAGGUGAAAUCCCAGGGCUCAACCUUGGAACUGCCUUCAAAACUCCUGGUCUGGAGUUCGAGAGAGGUGAGUGGAAUUCCGAGUGUAGAGGUGAAAUUCGUAGAUAUUCGGAGGAACACCAGUGGCGAAGGCGGCUCACUGGCUCGAUACUGACGCUGAGGUGCGAAAGCGUGGGGAGCAAACAGGAUUAGAAACCCCAGUAGUCC